rnacentral:tRNA from 1 species
GCCGGAGUGGCGGAACUGGUAGACGCAGGGGACUUAAAAUCCCCCGCCUAAAAGGCGUCCGGGUUCAAGUCCCGGCUCCGGCACCA